GGGGGCGUCGUUCAGUGGCAGGACUUUGGUCUCCAAAACCAAAAACGAGGGUCCGAUUCCUUCCGCCCCCG
rnacentral:tRNA from 1 species